UAUUGCUACAUUUCGGACUGGACUAGUUUAGUUCAUAUUAUUUAUUCAAGGCCUAGAGCUAGGCCUCCUAAGGGUAGAUAGUAGCCUAGCCUAGCCUACCCUAGCCUACCCUACUGUAGGUCUCAGGUGUAGCAGGGUAUCAGAGGCCAGGCUGACAGGCCUAAUACUGGUAGAAAGAGGAGAUAACUCAACUCGUCUCUGCAAAUCCUUUUCCACGCAUUGUCACAUAUUUUCUUUGCCCCCUUGUCACAGACCUAAACAAGAAUAGCCUACUCUUCCACAGAGUUUGCAUGAAACGGACUCGUCGGUCAUCGUUCGCACACGCACCUGUACAUUGUUUUGACAAUGGUCGUGAAUUUAUUGUUGACCUUUGACAUGAAUUGAAUCUAAGCCUUGCGAUUGGUCCAUCGGCCGCAAAUUCGCUCGCGAAUCCGAAAAAGUUGGUCUUGGAUCAACUCUUGUGAAUUCGCAGGCGAAGCCUCCGCGACCACCACGCGCACCGCGUCGAAGUUGGAAUAUUGGGUGUUCGCGUGUUCGACUACAAAUUCGUUUGCAUGUUCACAUUGGAAACGCCAGUCGCGUCUUCGGUUCAGCCGCGCGCGCCACAUUUCGACGCGAAAUUCGCUUGAUCGCGUUCAGUUGGAACCGGCCUUUAUGCAGACACUCGGUAAUGUGGCCUACAUGUAGGGCUAGCCUAGGCCUAGCACCCUAUGCAUAUAUUAUUAUAGGCCAACACUACAGUAGGUUUAAGCUAGUUAGUACUUAGACAGUACAGAUAGAUAGGUUUUGGUUUAAUUUUUCGAAAACAAAAAUGCCUGAUGCUAAUUAUUGAUAAUGAUUCAUCUGUUUUAAUUUCAGUUUUGGGUCAUCAAAAAAUAAACUGCUACAGUAUUACAAUACAAGAUUACUGGUAACUGAAUUUUAAAGCAAGUCUCUGAUGUCAGAUAUUUCUGUGUUACAUGGACUCUAAAUUGAACAAAUCAAGAUAUCUUGAAUGAUGGGAAUGCUUGUUACAUACAAGUUGCAAAGGUGUACACUACUUUAAAUAAGAAACAUACAGAACAAUGAUCCUUAAUCAAUGAAAGAAGCGUGCGAGAAUCAAACAUACAAUAAUGUACAUUGUGUGUGUGCUAUUUUGUAUUCCAGUAUAACACUGAAAAUAUUUUUGAAGUUUACUCUAUAUAAAAAUUAAUAAUGCAAAUCUAUAAUUUUUGACUACAUAAUGGUAAUUUUUUUGUAGGAUAAUUUAAAAUUCUAAUUAUUUAAUUGAUUUUCAUUUAAUUUGUGAGUAAAUUUCAAUGAAUAAGCUAAGCUACUUAUGUUUAAUUCAAUAAAUAUGUUUAUUUUAAUUGCAAAUCUAAGUUUAAUAGGCUAUG